GGGCAGGUACCCAAGUGGACAAAGGGGGCAGACUGUAAAUCUGCUGCCUUAUGGCUUCCAAGGUUCGAACCCUUGCCUGCCCACCA
rnacentral:tRNA from 5 species